rnacentral:lncRNA from 1 species
AUUAGGGCUGUAAAUAUUGAGAUUUAUUCGCUGUUUCAAAGCAAACAAAGGAUUAUAAGUGUAGAAUAAUACAUAAAGAAACAUUAAACGGAAAAGGCAAAAAAGCAAAGAAAAUUUUGUUCCUGAAGGUGAACUCCUGUGGAGUAUGAAGUACUUGAGCUAGUAAAAAAAAAAAAUUCUUCAAUGACAAACAAGCCACAGAACAAUAUGGAUCAGAAAUUUCAUUUCAGAGUCAGUAUAUUACAUGCAUCAAACUCACUUUGCAAAUAUUGAUUAUAUUGAAAUCAUCUGUUUUGCGCUAGUUAUGUAUCUUCCUUAACAGAAAAACAAUUUCCUCAAUACAUUCUCCACCCCAUAUCUUAUUAACUAAGAGAAUAUAUUAUUGUCAUAAUGACCGAAAAAGACAGUUGAAGAGAAAUCCACUGUGUUACAGAUUUAGCCAUUGUGUUAUCAGACGAGGAUGAUCAUCUUCCUUGUAGCAGAAGGCAAUAUACAGACAAGGAUGAUCAUCGAAAAAGAAGAACUCUUUAAACAUUUGAAAGUAGACAGGAAAAGGUACCAGAAUGAAGCAAACAUACUCGUCCUGAGCGUGUCUCGAGGGCACGCACACAAUUGCUGCAAUCACAGGGUAGCCAAAACAAGUC